UGGCUCAGUUGGUAGAGCAUGGUGUUUGCAACACCAGGUUGUGGGUUUGAUUCCCAU
rnacentral:tRNA from 1 species